CCUGGCUCAGGAUGAACGCUAGCGACAGGCUUAACACAUGCAAGUCGAGGGGCAGCGAGGGAGUGGCAACACUUCUGUCGGCGACCGGCGCACGGGUGAGUAACGCGUAUGCAACCUGCCCUUCACAGGGGGAUAMCCGGGAGAAAUUCCAAYUAAUACCGCAUACGUCCUCCGGGGGCAUCCCCGGAGGAUGAAAGAAUUAUCGGUGAAGGAUGGGCAUGCGUGAUAUUAGGUAGUUGGCGGGGCAACGGCCCACCAAGCCCACGAUAUCUAGGGGUUCUGAGAGGAAGGUCCCCCACAUUGGUACUGAGACACGGACCAAACUCCUACGGGAGGCAGCAGUGAGGAAUAUUGGUCAAUGGACGAGAGUCUGAACCAGCCAAGUCGCGUGAAGGAAGACGGAUCUAUGGUUUGUAAACUUCUUUAGUGCGGGAACAAAGCGGCGUCGUGACGCCUGAUGAGUGUACCGCAAGAAUAAGCAUCGGCUAACUCCGUGCCAGCAGCCGCGGUAAUACGGAGGAUGCGAGCGUUAUCCGGAUUUAUUGGGUUUAAAGGGAGCGCAGGCUGCGAGGCAAGUCAGCGGUCAAAUGUCGGGGCUCAACCCCGGCCUGCCGUUGAAACUGUCCUGCUAGAGUUCGAGUGAGGUAUGCGGAAUGCGUUGUGUAGCGGUGAAAUGCAUAGAUAUGACGCAGAACUCCGAUUGCGAAGGCAGCAUACCAACUCGCGACUGACGCUGAGGCUCGAAAGCGUGGGUAUCGAACAGGAUUAGAUACCCUGGUAGUCCACGCAGUAAACGAUGAAUACUAACUGUUCGGAGGGCGACCUCUGAGUGGUAAAGCGAARGCGUUAAGUAUUCCACCCUGGGGAGUACGCCGGCAACGGUGAAACUCAAAGAAAUUGACGG
rnacentral:rRNA from 1 species